UGGCGCUGUUACUUAGAAAAGAUGUAGUCUAACUCGGGAUUCUACACAGAGAUUCUAAAUUAAAUCUUCUGCACUCUCAUUUAGAUGAGCUUGAGCUACACACAGAGUUCUUCUGCUUUGCUAUAAAGGCAAUGCUGCUCCUCUUUUUGGCUGUAUGUUUUGCUGUUCCAUGAAAAUUCUAGAGUCUGCUAAAGAAUGAACUAAUAGGGAAUUUGGGAUUAGGGGCUUCUGAGAGAAGAAGGUGAGGAGUUGAGACACUUAUCUCCCUCUGAGAGCUCCAAAAACUCCAUUACUCGGACUGGACUUAUUGUUACGGAGAAGGGAAGUCAAAGGGUGGACAGGAUCCUAACUAGAUCUGACGUGCUGAGCUCUGAUUUGUAGGGGAUCUGAAAAGACAACAUUGUGGACAGUGUAAAACAACAUAAAGCAAUGAUCAGUGGCUUGCACUAAAAAAAGAAGAUUAAAUUGGAAAGUUUACUGAAGGCUACAGAUAAGGAAAUA
rnacentral:lncRNA from 1 species